rnacentral:rRNA from 1 species
UACGUAGGGGGCAAGCGUUGUCCGGAUUUACUGGGCGUAAAGAGCGUGUAGGCGGCCACGCAGGUCCGUUGUGAAAACUGGAGGCUCAACCUCCAGCUGUCGACGGAAACCGUGUGGCUAGAGUCCGGAAGAGGAGAGUGGAAUUCCUGGUGUAGCGGUGAAAUGCGCAGAUAUCAGGAGGAACACCGGUGGCGAAGGCGGGACUCUGGGCCGAUACUGACGCUGAGACGCGAAAGCGUGGGGAGCGAACAGG